UACGUAGGGGGCUAGCGUUGUCCGGAUUUAUUGGGCGUAAAGAGCGUGUAGGCGGCCAGGUAGGUCUGGUGUGAAAACUCGAGGCUUAACCUCGAGAUGUCAUCGGAAACCAUCUGGCUAGAGUCCGGAAGAGGAGAGUGGAAUUCCUGGUGUAGCGGUGAAAUGCGCAGAUGUCAGGAAGAACACCAAUGGCGAAAGCAGCUCUCUGGGACGGUACUGACGCUGAGACGCGAAAAGCGUGGGGAGCGAACAGG
rnacentral:rRNA from 1 species